rnacentral:sRNA from 1 species
AGUUUAAAAUCACGCAGCCAUGUGGUAAGCACAAAGCGAACUAUUCUUUCGCCUUUUACUAAAGAAUACCGUGUGCUCUCCACGCUAAGUGGCAUACGCCUAUUUUUGGAGGGCUCUCACUUUACAGUGGGACCCAACAUCUACCCUAGUGUAAACUUUUUAUGUGUGGC